rnacentral:rRNA from 1 species
UCCUACGGGGAGGCAGCAGUGGGGAAUAUUGCACAAUGGGCGAAAGCCUGAUGCAGCGACGCCGCGUGAGGGAUGACGGCCUUCGGGUUGUAAACCUCUUUCAGUAGGGAAGAAGCCCUCUUUGGGGGUGACGGUACUUGCAGAAGAAGCGCCGGCUAACUACGUGCCAGCAGCCGCGGUAAUACGUAGGGCGCAAGCGUUAUCCGGAAUUAUUGGGCGUAAAGAGCUCGUAGGCGGUUUGUCGCGUCUGCUGUGAAAGACCGGGGCUCAACUCCGGUUCUGCAGUGGGUACGGGCAGACUAGAGUGCAGUAGGGGAGACUGGAAUUCCUGGUGUAGCGGUGAAAAGCGCAGAUACUCAGGAGGAACACCGAUGGCGAAGGCAGGUCUCUGGGCUGUAACUGACGCUGAGGAGCGAAAGCAUGGGGAGCGAACAGGAUUAGAUACCCUGGUAGUCCAUGCCGUAAACGUUGGGCACUAGGUGUGGGGGACAUUCCACGUUUUCCGCGCCGUAGCUAACGCAUUAAGUGCCCCGCCUGGGGAGUACGGCCGCAAGGCUAAAACUCAAAGGAAUUGACGGCGGGCGGGGGCGGCGGG